GCGCAUGUGGUUUAAUUAGAUGCAACGAGAAGACCUUUACCUACUCGUGACAUCCAGAGAAUUUUCCAGAGAUGGUUUGGUGCCUUCGGGAACUCUGAGACAGGUGCUGCAUGGCUGUCGUCAGCUCGUGUUGUGAAAUGUUGGGUUAAGUCCCGCAACGAGCGCAACCCUUAUCCUUGUUUGCCAGCACAUAAUGGUGGGAACUCCAGGGAGACUGCCGGUGAUAAACCGGAGGAAGGUGGGGACGACGUCAAGUCAUCAUGGCCCUUACGAGUAGGGCUACACACGUGCUACAAUGGCGUAUACAGAGGGCUGCCAACCAGCGAUGGUGAGCGAAUCCCAGAAAGUACGUCGUAGUCCGGAUUGGAGUCUGCAACUCGACUCCAUGAAGUCGGAAUCGCUAGUAAUCGUGAAUCAGAAUGUCACGGUGAAUACGUUCCCGGGCCUUGUACACACCGCCCGUCACACCA
rnacentral:rRNA from 1 species